rnacentral:rRNA from 1 species
UAAAAGGUGGCUUCGGCUACCACUUACAGAUGGACCCGCGGCGCAUUAGCUAGUUGGUGAGGUAACGGCUCACCAAGGCGACGAUGCGUAGCCGACCUGAGAGGGUGAUCGGCCACACUGGGACUGAGACACGGCCCAGACUCCUACGGGAGGCAGCAGUAGGGAAUCUUCCGCAAUGGACGAAAGUCUGACGGAGCAACGCCGCGUGAGUGAUGAAGGUUUUCGGAUCGUAAAGCUCUGUUGUUAGGGAAGAACAAGUGCCGUUCAAAUAGGGCGGCACCUUGACGGUACCUAACCAGAAAGCCACGGCUAACUACGUGCCAGCAGCCGCGGUAAUACGUAGGUGGCAAGCGUUGUCCGGAAUUAUUGGGCGUAAAGGGCUCGCAGGCGGUUUCUUAAGUCUGAUGUGAAAGCCCCCGGCUCAACCGGGGAGGGUCAUUGGAAACUGGGGAACUUGAGUGCAGAAGAGGAGAGUGGAAUUCCACGUGUAGCGGUGAAAUGCGUANAGAUGUGGAGGAACACCAGUGGCGAAGGCGACUCUCUGGUCUGUAACUGACGCUGAGGAGCGAAAGCGUGGGGAGCGAACAG